ensembl:lncRNA
GUCAGGUUUUUUAAACAAGUGGUCUGAUAGAAAUUACUUUGGAGGAAUGAGGAGUUGGACUGGUCCUCCAUCUUCUUUCAGCAGCUGCGCAACACAUUACGAUGGCGAAAGCUUCUGUUUACCACUGUUGAUGCUUGGAUGUUUACCUUGUCAAGCAACACAAACAAGGUAACUGUCAGAUGCAGCUAUUAGCUCACAAGCUAACUCAAAUGCCGGAGUCAUACAACGAUGAUACAAGUCAGAUGGGCGGAUAACCAGAAGACCCAUAUAAGGUAUAAAAGCGUGGAAUGACAACUGGUUGCUGGGCACUGACUUCCCAUUGUUUUGGGUUUCCUGGUAUGAGAUGAAAGCCCAACCUACAACAUGGUCAUCCAUCUUUCAACAUCCCUUUCCAAGCCUCAAGAUCCAUCCAUCCAGGAGGCUUCAGAUUGGAUGAGGCAUGACAGAUAUUCGAGGCCGAACAUUACAUUAGAACAUGUGUAGACCUACUGGUUCUGGUGGAAAUUAAGACCCAACAAUCAUUUUAGAAGGGUAGGUUAAUGAAUCUCUAAGGUGAAGUCAUACCAUUUGUGUUAGAAUUUUGCCUGAGCCAUCCCUUUAAAAAGGUAUAUUGAGGCGACAUAGGCUUACACAUUGCAUUUCACUGACGGAAUACUUUGCCCAACACAACAUGAUAUCUUCUACUUUGUCCUGACGGGCCGGAGUGUGUUUGGAUGUUUGGAUCGCAUUCCGCACUGCUCCCCCUAAUCUCUUGUCCCUUUACUUAAGGAGCGCGGUCUCCGGUUGGGUGCUGCCUGCGUGUCUGUUUCCUUCACCAUUUAUGUUGGCAGCGAGGGACGUCGGCUCCACUGAGCUCUCUCCAAAACAGGAAGGGAACCCUGGUCUGAGAUACAGGACGCAGGAGACUGGAAAACAAACGAGAUGGGGAUGUGCAGACACGAGAGGACAACUGGGGAUACACAUUGAACGCCCGAUCUGCUCCAGACCAGGCCAUGGAGUUUGUGUGUGUGUGUGUGUACAUACUGUGAAUGUGUGUGUCUGCUGUGAAUGUGUUUUUAUUGUGUGUGUGUCUGUGUGUGUGUGUGUGUUUAUAUUGUGAAAGUGUGUGUCGACUGUGGAUGUGUUUGUAUUUGGUGUGUCUGUGUAUGAGACAGAGGGAGAAACUCUAUGUGUUUUGGGUUUAUGAUGGGUGUAUGCGGAUGUCAAGUCAAUGGUUACUAGAAUUGGAUCUACUUUAUUAAUCGUAGAUGAGAAAUGAUAGCAUCCCAGCUGAAAGUGACACUGCUAGCAUGACUGGCAAGUGCCCUUUUUCCUCUCAAGGCGAAAUACUAUUUGCGACAUACCAUACCAGCAACAACACACAAAGGCCAAUAUGCCAUACACAUAAAAUAAAAGUCUAGUGCCGUCAUCAUCAUCAACAUUAUAGUAUGCAUGACCCAAUAUGUGGACAUUUUGCGGGUCUAUAUAUAAAUAAACUGGUAUCCAACUAAAUUAUAUCAGUGUGACCUCUCAUAUACCCUUCUUUAUCAUGUGCGUUAAACACGCACACACACAUGAAAUGUAUGCAAGCAUAGCAUCAGCAGAUUCUUUUACUCAACUUUUAAUCAACCACUAGGGACCAGGUAAGGCUUUCACAUGUAAACGGGAAGGCUGUGAGCUCUAUAAAUGCAAAUUAGGAUAGCGGGGGGAGUUUGACUCAGCACUGGAGCUGACACCUUUUUCUAGGCGGGCCUUGCACUAAAAAGAUCAUCAAACAGCAGCAUUAAUGUGUCGUGAAUGUCUUGUUAAAGAAGAAAUGAGAGUCUGAUCGCUCGAAACCUGCGGCCAGUCCAAUCGUUCAAGAGCCCCAACCAGUCCGACCGACAAUUAAAUUGAGGGGGCCCAUUACAAUUAUUGCACCGGGGCCUUAAUGACCUACUAAAGCCAGUUUAAACUUGCCAUAUAUUACAACGAUGAAAUAAAGAAAAGUUGACGUGGC